AUUCCUUAAUUUAUAUAACUGAAUUAUUACUACCCUUAUUUCCAAGUUCAAAUUCGAAAACAAUAUUUCGUAUUCAUAGUAAAUGCAAGGAAAAGUAAAGUAAAUAUUUUAAAUUGUUCUUGACAAACAAAGUUCCUGACCAAGAUAGAUAGACUUAGAAAAUAAUUUCUGUGGAAAGUCUCAUUAAUAAAAAAAUUAAAAUUAAGAUGAGGACAUAUGAUUCAAAGUAAUUAAGGUUUAACAUAAACUAUGACCUUAACUAGAAUCGGGACUUGGUAAUGGAGAGACCUUAAUGCAUGGCAUGUAUGAUCAAGGUUCUAAGUAAGGGAUGUAUUUAUUUAUCACUACUUAGGUAGUCACAACAUAUUAUGGUAGGUAUCAAUAAUGAUUUAUGAGAACCAAGAGUAGAAAGGGAAUUUCACUCUAUGUAUGGAAGAGUUCCAAUGAUAUUAAGGAGUUAAUAUCAUUUUCAUUCCCAAUUAAUUAUGAACCUAAGAAGUCAUACACAAAUAAGAAAUAAAGUAAUCAAGAUUUAAUUAAUUUAAUUGAUUGAUUAUAUAGUUUAAUUAACUAAUUAAAUUGAAGAAUUUAGUAUGCAAUAAGACUGCAAAAUCCCUAACAUGACUUGAAACUAGAUUUAGAGAAUUGGGUAACAUGGAGGAUAAAUAUGGCUAACUAAAAAUUGCAUAAACUGUAGCAUGGGGCAUGUUGCAGUCCAGUGCAAGUGUUGCAUAGGGCAUGCAAAAGUUGCAUGGGGAAUGCAAUGGUAACAUGGGCCAUGUUGUCCUUAGGCAAAAGUUAUAUGGGGCAUGCCAUACCUUUUAUUUUGAAAGAAGGAAGAUUGUUUGUGGGUUUUAAUGUCUCUUAACAUGAGAUGAUGAGUGAUAUCAUGAGUUGGAAACAAAAUAUGACCGGUUUGAUAUGUGAAACUUUUUUCUCCAAGUGCAGAAUAUUCUGAACUCAUUCACCAUGUUGAGGGAUAUGAAAUUUCUAAAAGUUAGAGAUUUCUCCUCACUUUAAUUGUAUGGGAAUGCCUAAAGUAUAAAAUAUCAUAAUCCACAUGCAAAAGAAAACACUUUAGUGAUUUCUAUCUUCUUCUUCUUCUUCCUUUUUCUCAACCUUCAUUGUUAAAAAACCUUGAGCUUUCUUCUAAGUCUAAUUCAAGAGAUAUUACUCUUGAAUUAAAAAUUGAAGGAAUCAUUUCUUCAAUUAUCCUUGUAAAACAAAGAGGACCAAAACAGUUUUUAUGCUUACUUGGUCUACACAAGAGAAGGCAUUUUGUGGGGAUUGCAGUUCAAGUGAUAGAUCAUCUUGGUUGCUGAGCUUUUGUGCAUGGAUUAGAGGGCUUAUGUUUAGAAACCUAGCUACCCGAAUUAAGGUGGAAAGUGAAAUUUUGUGCCUGUUUGGUAAAGUCCCUAAAUCUUAUUUUAGGCACUUGGUUUUAAUUUUCCUAAAUUGCAAAAUCGGCUAGAUUUCUAAUUGUGGUUACAAGAGUUGUAAGCUUCAUGUUUUGAACAAAGUAGUAUGAAAUAUGGGUUUUGCAUGAGAUGCAUAUAACAUAUGUAAAAUUAAAAAUUUUGAAAUUUCCAUUGCGUAACUCGUGCCUUCAAUUGGUAUUAGAGCCACCCCAUAUUGCAUUUAAGAACUUUAAUUUGCUUGGUUAUUAGUUAAAAUUAUAUGAAAUUUUGUUAGUCAAGUGUUGAGAAAUGAAAUUCCAUUAAAUUUUUUAAGAAAGUGGUUUUUGUUGUGGUUAAAAUGCAAGUGUUGCGAAUUUUUUUUUUUUUG
rnacentral:misc_RNA from 1 species